rnacentral:misc_RNA from 1 species
GUAGGUGAACCUGCGGAAGGAUCAUUAUCGUUGGGGCUCCGGCCCCGUCGAGAUAGUACCCUUGCCCUUUAUUCGCGUACCUGUUCGUUUCCUCGGUGGGCUCGCCCGCCAAUGGGGACCUCAACUUAACUCUUGUAUCAUCUUCUGUUUAGUCUGAAUAAAAAUUUAAAAAUUAAAACUUUCAACAACGGAUCUCUUGGUUCUG